AUGCACGCUGGCGGCGUGCCUAAUACAUGCAAGUCGCGCGCACAGACGAGGAGCUUGCUCCUCUGACGUUAGCGGCGGACGGGUGAGUAACACGUGGAUAACCUACCUAUAAGACUGGGAUAACUUCGGGAAACCGGAGCUAAUACCGGAUAAUAUAUUGAACCGCAUGGUUCAAUAGUGAAAGACGGUUUUGCUGUCACUUAUAGAUGGAUCCGCGCCGCAUUAGCUAGUUGGUAAGGUAACGGCUUACCAAGGCAACGAUGCGUAGCCGACCUGAGAGGGUGAUCGGCCACACUGGAACUGAGACACGGUCCAGACUCCUACGGGAGGCAGCAGUAGGGAAUCUUCCGCAAUGGGCGAAAGCCUGACGGAGCAACGCCGCGUGAGUGAUGAAGGUCUUCGGAUCGUAAAACUCUGUUAUUAGGGAAGAACAAAUGUGUAAGUAACUAUGCACGUCUUGACGGUACCUAAUCAGAAAGCCACGGCUAACUACGUG
rnacentral:rRNA from 1 species